GAUGAACGCUGGCGGCGUGCCUAAUACAUGCAAGUCGAGCGAACAGACGAGGAGCUUGCUCCUCUGACGUUAGCGGCGGACGGGUGAGUAACACGUGGAUAACCUACCUAUAAGACUGGGAUAACUUCGGGAAACCGGAGCUAAUACCGGAUAACAUGUUGAACCGCAUGGUUCAACAGUGAAAGACGGUCUUGCUGUCACUUAUAGAUGGAUCCGCGCCGCAUUAGCUAGUUGGUAAGGUAACGGCUUACCAAGGCAACGAUGCGUAGCCGACCUGAGAGGGUGAUCGGCCACACUGGAACUGAGACACGGUCCAGACUCCUACGGGAGGCAGCAGUAGGAAUCUUCCGCAAUGGGCGAAAGCCUGACGGAGCAACGCCGCGUGAGUGAAGAAGGUCUUCGGAUCGUAAAACUCUGUUAUUAGGGAAGAACAAAUGUGUAAGUAACUAUGCACGUCUUGACGGUACCUAAUCAGAAAGCCACGGCUAACUACGUG
rnacentral:rRNA from 1 species